GGCUUGCAAUUAAUGAUAACAAUGGUGUAUGCAGCGAUUUGCUUACUUGUGUUCCUCUGUGCUAGUGGCUUACACGCGUAUCCAGGUUAUGAUAGUCAAGGGCCUGAAAUUUCUUGCAAAGACAACGCGGAAUGCACUGUACUUUGUUCGUGGAUGAAGCACACGGAGACAUCAGGACAAUGUGUUAGAAAUAAUUGUAUCUGUGAGAAGACGCCGUUGCUAGCAGUUGCCAAUAAUCCUUAUCCUCCCCACCGAAGAAUGAAUUCACAAACAAAAUCUAGAUGUGGGAAAACUUGGGAAGAUUGAACAUAAGUUUAAUUUAAAAAAAUAAUUAAAACAAUUUAUUUAUAACA